UACAGAGGUCCCAAGCGUUGUUCGGAUUCACUGGGCGUAAAGGGUGCGUAGGUGGUGAGGUAAGUCGGAUGUGAAAGCUCGGAGCUCAACUCCGAAAUGGCAUUGGAAACUACCUUGCUCGAGGGUUGAAAGGGGGACUGGAAUGCUUGGUGUAGCAGUGAAAUGCGUAGAUAUCAAGCGGAACACCAGUGGCGAAGGCGAGUCCCUGGACAACUCCUGACACUGAGGCACGAAAGCUAGGGAAGCAAACAGG
rnacentral:rRNA from 1 species